AUAGAUUUGCUAAUGCAAUUGUAAUCUGUUGAAAAUUUUGAAGAGAUAUUGAUAGGAUUAAUAUAUAUGAUAUAAUUGCUUUAACACUCUUAAAUUGUAUAUGGAUGUCAUUAAAUUGAGGAUAUACCCCAGUUCUAUUGCUUUUUGUGGUGCUGCAUUGUUUUGAGGCUGCGGUUGGCUUAGCUGGAGAUGGAUGGGUGUGUCCAGAUCAAAUCCAUUGCUGAUAGUGCAUGGAGCAAAAAGCUUUCAGUUAGCAGAGUUUUGAUUUGAAGCGGAUUGGGUUCAUUCGUGAAGGUGAUUCAUAUAGAAGAAGGCCAGAGGUUCUGGAACCACUGCAAAGGGAGAUGAACGUGUUGUUUACUGUGGUUACAAGAUUGGGUCUUCAGAGUUACUAAGGUUUUGUAGGUAGAUCAAUUUGUAACACAAAACUUCUAUAGUGAAUGCCUUUAGGGUUGGCUGACCCCUGUAGUGGUUUUACUUUUUGAAGAGUUUUUCAAAAUGUUUUCCACUUCGGUAUCAAAAUCUGUAUUGAUUUCUUUUACUGUUUUCUUGAUUUUGGUAUUGAUAUAUGUGGUGGUUGGAUUUGAAGUUGAUAACUUUGUUAAUCUGACUAGAAAUUUAAAAUUGAGAUUUUUUUUGAA